rnacentral:rRNA from 1 species
AGCUCCAAUAGCGUAUAUUAAAGUUGCUGCGGUUAAAAAGCUCGUAGUUGGAUCUCAGUCUCGGUCGGACGGUCCAUUUCACGAUGGUACUGUCCGAAUCGGACAUUCCGCCGCCUUUCCUAGCAUGCUCUUCGUUGAGUGUGGUGGGAGAGUGGUACGUUUACUUUGAAAAAAUUAGAGUGCUCAAAGCAGGCAUGUGCCUGAAUAGUCGUGCAUGGAAUGAUGGAAUAGGGCCUCGGUUCUAUUUUGUUGGUUUCCGGAACUCGAGGUAAUGAUUAAGAGGGACGGACGGGGGCAUUCGUAUUGCGACGUUAGAGGUGAAAUUCUUAGAUCGUCGCAAGACGAACUACUGCGAAAGCAUUUGCCAAGAAUGUUUUCA